GACGAACGCUGGCGGCGUGCUUAACACAUGCAAGUCGAACGGAAAGGCCCUGCUUUUGUGGGGUGCUCGAGUGGCGAACGGGUGAGUAACACGUGAGUAACCUGCCCUUGACUUUGGGAUAACUUCAGGAAACUGGGGCUAAUACCGGAUAGGAGCUCCUGCUGCAUGGUGGGGGUUGGAAAGUUUCGGCGGUUGGGGAUGGACUCGCGGCUUAUCAGCUUGUUGGUGGGGUAGUGGCUUACCAAGGCUUUGACGGGUAGCCGGCCUGAGAGGGUGACCGGACACAUUGGGACUGAGAUACGGCCCAGACUCCUACGGGAGGCAGCAGUGGGGAAGAGUGCACAAUGGGAGGAAGCCUGAUGCAGCAAAGCCGCGUGCGGGAUGACGGCCUGCGGUUUGUAAACCGCUUUCGCCUGUGACGAAGCGUGAGUGACGGUAACGGGUAAAGAAGCACCGGCUAACUACGUG
rnacentral:rRNA from 1 species